rnacentral:rRNA from 1 species
GUGGGGAAUAUUGGACAAUGGGCGAAAGCCUGAUCCAGCCAUGCCGCGUGUGUGAAGAAGGUCUUCGGAUUGUAAAGCACUUUAAGUUGGGAGGAAGGGCAGUAAGUUAAUACCUUGCUGUUUUGACGUUACCGACAGAAUAAGCACCGGCUAACUUCGUGCCAGCAGCCGCGGUAAUACGAAGGGUGCAAGCGUUAAUCGGUAUUACUGGGCGUAAAGCGCGCGUAGGUGGUUUUGUAAGUUGGAGGUGAAAUCACCGGGCUCAACCUGGGAACUGCCUCCAAAACUGCAUGACUAGAGUACGGUAGAGGGUAGUGGAAUUUCCUGUGUAGCGGUGAAAUGCGUAGAUAUAGGAAGGAACACCAGUGGCGAAGGCGACUACCUGGACUGAUACUGACACUGAGGUGCGAAAGCGUGGGGAGCAAACAGGAUUAGAUACCCUAGUAGUCC